GUAACUGGCAGCUGAUGCUUUCUGAAUAUAUAUUGGCUAUGGUCUCCGUUCCUCGACACAACGCUACAGAAGCGAAGAAGCAGCCAGAAGUCAAUUCGUAGCAGUAAUCAUGUUUGCAAGCAAAACUAUUGUCCUCGUUGUUGCCAUGCUGGCCCUAGUAUACGUGGCCACUGCUUAUCCCAGUUUCGGAUACGGAUCAUACGGCCACGGAUACGGACACGGCCACCAUUCAUCUUACGGACACGGUUCUUAUGGAUACGGACAUUCUGGAUAUGGGCCAGUCUACAACCAGUACUCAUCCCACCACCAGGGACACUAUCAUGGAUAGACUGAAGCGAUCUCCUGCUGGGAUGGCGCCUGAUUUCUGAACCAUAUUUCCCCUACUUUCCUUCUCAUUUCCACUUCAGAGAAAUGAAAAAAAUCAGGACGUGAAAUGAUGCAGAUUAUUUGCUCCUUAUAUUUUGAACUUUAAUCGCAAUUUCUAUAAAAAAUAUGGCUAUCUAUAUUGCGAAUUUGUAAUAAUCAUUGACUUCGUAAUCCUUUGCUUUUCACAGAUCCUUUUUUAGUUAUA